rnacentral:rRNA from 1 species
UACGUAGGGUGCAAGCGUUGCCCGGAUUUAUUGGGCGUAAAGGGCGCGUAGGCGGCUCGGCACGUCCGUGGUGAAAUCGCCCGGCUCAACUGGGCGGGGUCAGCGGAUACGGCAGAGCUUGAGCAAGCUAGGGGGCAAUGGAAUUCCCGGUGUAGUGGUGGAAUGCGUAGAUAUCGGGAGGAACACCAGUGGCGAAGGCGGUUGCCUGGGGCUUUGCUGACGCUGAUGCGCGAAAGCGUGGGGAGCGAUCCGG